AUGAUUUUAGAAAAAUUAAAUUUUGCAAUCCGUUUCUAUUUUGACUAAAUGUUGGACUAUAUACCCUGCUCUAAGGGAUUAAGUAUUUGUUCUGUCCCAUUGAAUCGCUUGCUCCUUCAGACCUGUGGUUCGUUUUAAGUUGUUCACUACAAAAUAUUCCGUUGCAGCAAUUUGGAGCUAGUUGCUUUCAUUUUGAAAUUUAGAGCUAUAUACCCUACUCUUGGCUCAGUUCACGACUGUUUAUGCAUCUCAGGUGCUCGUUUGUUGUAUUAUGAACCAUAAUGAAAGAUCGUUUAAGACUUUACCCCACUUAUCGAGCUAGAGCUCAAUUCUUUAAUAGAUGGUUUAUAGCUUGCAACUGUGUUGCGUUUCUAAACUGCUUCACUUUCAUUUCCGUGCUUAAUGUUAAAAUUUUCCCAAUUCCAUGAAAUUACGUUAUUGUUGGGAUGAUUUGUUGUUAAACUUUUAGUAGUUGGGAGAUGUGGUAGUAGUGAUUUAAGACUAUGGUUUAGCUGUUUGGUGCUGCCUUUUUUGAAAUUUUAACUCUGACGGGUAUGGGUAUCUAUAUGUCAAGUUAUCAAGGAAGUUGUCUUAUUCAACAUUUACUUCAUGAUCUUUAUCGUAUCUAUGCACAAAGUGGACUUCCAACAUUCCUACGCUCUGAGCAGGAAGGAAGGAAGUCUGUGUGGACUGGAAUGUUAGUUCCUUUGUUUGAUUUGAGGGAUAUCUCUACUGGGCACUAGAUGUAGCUAUUUCUUAUGUUUGGUUCACUUUCGCCACUGGGUUUUGAGUUCCGAGUCUCUGACCACCAUCAAUGAAAUGGGAGGAGAAAGUUGAAGCCAAACUUUCCACUACAGGUUGUAUUGAUCUUGUUUUUUUGUCCUAGGCAUAUAUGAUAUUCAUGUAAAUAGGUGGUUGGGAUCUGUGGUUAUUCAAAGAUUUAAAGUGGCUUCAUGUUCUUAAGGAGUGGGUUUCAAAUAUUUAAAGUGGCUUCAUGUCCUAGGCAUAUGAUUUGAUUGGCUUUUGGUAAUCAUCAACUUGAUAGACAGAUAUUGUUUUGCCAAAGCUUUGAUGUUCUUCUUAACCUCCUCUAAUUAGGUAAUGAGUCAAAUUUGUUCUGAAUUUCCUUAUCAUCCAUUUUCAGUAUCCCUUUUUUUGUCUGUCAUUUGGUAAGGACGCAAUAAGUUAUUAUUAAUUUUAGUUUAAGGACAUGCGGGGUGGGAAAUUCAAAUCUCUGACUUGUUGGCCGAGAAUAUAUGUCGUAAUUAGUUGAACUAUGGUGUUCUUGAACUAUGGUUAGAUUGACAAGAAACGAUCAGUUAUUGAUAAUCUUGUCUUUGAAUUCUUUCUUGACAACAGACGGUGAUGAUUAUGUUGUUACUGAUUUAGCAAUAGUGUUUAUAAUGAUAAGAAGAAUUGUGUUUUAAGAUAAUAUGUCCCAAAAUGAAGGUUGUUCAUCUGUUGUAUUUUUUGUGUGCGCACGUGUUUCAGCAUUCCAUCAGUUACGGCUUGGUUAUAUAAUUCCACUCUUAUUGUUUCAAGGUUAUUGUGCAGAAGGCAGAGAGAAAUGACAUCCCUAGAAUUGAUAAAAAGAAAUACCUAGUUCCAGCAGAUCUUACUGUAGGACAGUUUGUUUAUGUCAUUUGUAAAAGGAUUAAAUUGAGCCCGGAGAAAGCGAUCUUUAUCUUGGUGGACAAUGUCCUCCCUUCUACAGCCUUGUAGAUUUCAAUGUCGAUUUCACCUCAAGGAACAACUUCAUCAACAAAUUUGUUCUCAUUGUUUGACUAAAAUCAACUCACGACCCCGCUUUCACUUCAUUCAACUCAACAAUUUCAAGCUCUUUAUCCAUAAUUUUGAUCGAGUUUGUAAAUUUUGAAGCCCAAUUCCAUGAUGUCAUAAUCUUGUAAACUAGUAGAUUUUGUAUUUUGUGAACUUAUAUAGUUACAAAUUAUAUUUGGUAUACUUUUAUUGUUGGAUAAUCAUUUUUAUUUUGUAAUGUACAAAUGAAUUACAAAAUUGCAGAUAUGAAAGGAAGUCAUGGUAUUUGAUGUA